CCUACGGGGGGCUGCAGUGGGGAAUAUUGGGCAAUGGGCGCAAGCCUGACCCAGCAACGCCGCGUGAGGGAAGAAGGCUUUCGGGUUGUAAACCUCUGUCCUUGGUGACGAAAAAAAUGACGGUAGCCAAGGAGGAAGCCCCGGCUAACUACGUGCCAGCAGCCGCGGUAAUACGUAGGGGGCGAGCGUUGUCCGGAAUUACUGGGCGUAAAGGGUGCGUAGGCGGUCUGGUAAGUUGGAUGUGAAAAGCCCGGGCUUAACCUGGGAGGUGCAUCCAAUACUGUUGGACUAGAGUGCAGGAGAGGAAAGCGGAAUUCCUAGUGUAGCGGUGAAAUGCGUAGAUAUUAGGAGGAACACCAGUGGCGAAGGCGGCUUUCUGGACUGUAACUGACGCUGAGGCACGAAAGCGUGGGGAGCAAACAGGAUUAGAUACCCCUGUAGUC
rnacentral:rRNA from 2 species